UGAAUUACGGUCACAGUUUUGUAUCUCAAAUUUUCAGCCUUCUGAUUGGCUAGAGAUGCCGUACGGGUUGUGGUGUACGUAACGUCCGUGAAAGUAAAAAGGCAAACAAAGAUGGCAGAAAAGAUGUAGCGUAUCUGCAAAAUUCCACUGGCAUCAGGCACAAAAAACGCGAAGUAAGCCGUCUAUAGCUAACACACCUGAAGAUAGGAAUUCUAACAUCAGGCACCAGUAGGUAUGUGUGAAUAUGCAGUUCGUGAUGGAAUUUAUUCAUUACAACCCGAUUGUAAGAAAAACAACCGAUUAAAACGUUAUGAUGGAAGAACAGCAAAAUAGCAUAUUAUAAACAUGAAAGUCGUUUUUGUUCUAUGGUAAUAGUUGUUGUGAUUGUUAUAAAUAUAUAUAUAUAAAAAUGAGUAAAAUUUGAAAAACCAGAAAAAGACGAUUGCUGUAAUAAUAUCUCCUAUAUAAUUUGAAAAAAGUCCGUCUGGGUGUGAGGCAAGGUAAAUUAUAUUUUCUACAAUUUUCUUUGCCUAAAGAAACAUCUUCUAAAACUAUGUUUUGUAUUUUGAAACUUCUUUAAUUGUCUAAAACAAAUCACAUGAUAAAAGGAAAUAAUUUCAUUAGCUGGGAAUUUUGGCAGUUUUACCCUAAUUUAAAUUUGCUAAAGGUUUUUUAAAAUGGACUCUUAUUAUACGAAUUUAUGUUUUGUGUUUGAAUGACGUUUUUAUAUGUCGAAUAUCCCAAAUAGAAAUUACUAUCUGCAAGGAAUCUUUUUACUCCUUGAUGGUUACUCAUGUUUCUAAUCAAAUAUUGGUAGAGCUUAGAGAUAUUUUAUAAUUUUGUUGUUUUGUACAACCCAUACUCAAUUUAUUUUGUUUUGUAAUUAUCUAAAAAAUAGAAAGUAACGAGCUGUGACUAUUGAAGACUGUUUACUUUUUGUUCUCAUUUUCUUGUAAUUUGAGUUAUUGUCGUGAGAAAAAUAAUACCUUAAAACUUUGUUUUAUGGUAAAGAAAUAUUGUA